UACGCCACCGCACCUGGCCCAAAUUAUUAAUUGUACGUAUUCUCAUUGUUCUGCUUCUUCCAAGAAAACUGAAGUCACGGUAUUCUGAAGACUAGAGAUGAUUCAACAGGCUGUGAAUCUAUUCCAUUUGGAAUCCUACUGGGCCUGAUCUGUUUUCCAUUGCCAAGGCACUGCUGUUUAAGCUAUACCAUAUGAAGCACCCUCCCUAAAGGCUCAGGGGCCAUAGUGAAAGAGGACACAUGGGAUUGUAAGAGCCAGAUUAUGGGGGUGGAGGGUAAAGGCUGAAGCAAGUCCAUCUUGGAUGCUAACUCACUAUGUUAGCUUCUGAUUAACCCCAGUUCCAGGAAGGCUGCUGAAAUUUCCAGUUUAUGUGUUGUUCCUUGUGUAAGAGCAUGGACUUACUGCAAAUCCUGCCCUUAGGGCAAAUUCCUACCUAUUCCUGCGGAAGCAUGUGUAUCAUUCCCCUAUGGUUUAUAACCCCUGAGUCUGGGGGUAAUGGCACGGGGACCCACCAGCUUGUCUGCCGCCAUCUGGGAGUCUUUUCUAAGGCACCAACUACUUCCUUCAAGCAGCAGCCAGAGAUCUUUGCUUAAUGGCUGAGAAACACAGAGGAGAGACCCAGAGAGAAGGAGAAGGCCGCAUGAAGAUGGAGCAGAGACUGGAGUUAUUCAGCCAAGUCAAGGAAUGCCUGGAGCACCAGAAGCCGGAAGAGGCAAGGAAGGAUCCUCCCUUAGAGCAUUUGGAAGAGUGUGGCCCUGCCAACACCUUGACUUCAAACUUCUGGCCUCCAUAACUAUGAAAUAAAUUCUUGUUGUUUUAAGCCACCAAGUUUGUGGUAACUUCUUACAGCAACCCUAGGAAAUUAACACACAGAGUGUCAGUUACCUAAACAUUGUGAGCCUCAGUUACCUUAUCUGAAAAUGGGGCUAAAACUUAGACCUACCUUUUAGGGCUGCUUUAAGGAGUAAUAGAAAUUAUACAUGGGAAUUACAUGGCACCAAGUUGUUCCUUAAUAGAGGGAAACUGUUAUGAUGGCGGAAGAGCAGUAAUGAAAUACUGAAUUCAUCCAGCAGAUGGCAGAAGAUGGAUUUGCAAACAAGAGGACUUCAUAAGGUUUGCUGCCCAGCAAUGCAGCUCCAGGCCUAAAGUAGCCUUCCUAGCUCACAGACUGAUGAGGAUUAACCCUCGCCAACUCAAGUGUGCUCUCAGCUCUGUAGAAACUAAACUAAUUCUGUUUUCCUUUGACCAUUGUACACCACAGAGGCUGGCAAUGGAGAAUAUAAAGAGUGGUGCAACAGAAAAUACCUGGGUUCUAGGCUCAGCUCUGUCACCUCAUUAGGAUUCAGUUUGCCCAUCUGUAAAGUAGUGACAAGAUGAAAUACCAAGUGUAACGUAAUUAAAGGGCUGUUGUGAUACCAAAAUAACAUAAUGUGUAAAAGUGCUAAAAACAAGAUGCCAUAAAGCACAGAAGGGGCCCAGGAGAGAUUAAUUCAUGGAGAACUUACUCGUUUUUUUGAGACAGAGUCUCACUGUGUUGCUCAGGCUGCAGUGCAGUGGCGCGAUCUCAGCUAAC
rnacentral:lncRNA from 1 species